GCGGGUGUGGUGGAAUGGUAGACGCAGCGCACUCAAAAUGCGCCGCCGCAAGGCAUGUCGGUUCGAGUCCGACCACCCGCACCA
rnacentral:tRNA from 1 species